rnacentral:misc_RNA from 1 species
GUGUUAGUUGCAUUGCAUUGGCUUAAUGGGUAUGAGAAUCAAUUAAUAGUUUGUCAAUGCUAAAAAGUAAAAGAGUGAUUUUCUUACUAAUGACUUGAAUGAGUUUUAUUUUAAUAGUAAUAAAUUUUCAAAGAUUUAAAUUUUAUUUGAUAAAAAAUAGCUAAGAAUAUUGAAAAAUUAAAGGUAUAUAUUGACAUUUGAAGAUGCUUGGACAUAUAUAAAUGUCCCUUUAUUCUUAAGGCUAAACUUUGAUGUACAAAGAAAAUGAAAAAAUUUAUCAAAUUAUUUUUUUAAAGUGAUUACUUGUUUUUAAUGUUUAAAUUUUUUUAAAAAAUUAUGUCUAC